UCUGGUUGAUCCUGCCUGAACUGAUGUGUUUAUUUCAAAGAUUAAGCCAUGCAUGUAUAAGUUUAAUCGUUUAUCGAGAAACCGCGAACGGCUCAUUACAAUGGCCAUUAUUUACUUGAUCUUGAUUGUCUAAAUGGAUAACUGUGGAAAAGCUAGAGCUAAUACAUGCACUAAAGCUUUGUCCUUACGGAAAAGCGCAUUUAUUAGAACAAAACCACGCGGCUUCGGCUGCUUCUUGUUGACUCAGAAUAACUUAGCUGACCGCAUGGCCUUGUGCCGGCGGCGUGUCUUUCAAGCGUCCACUUUAUCAACUUGACGGGAGCAUAAUCGACUCCCGUGGUGGUGACGGAUAACGGAGGAUCAGGGUUCGACUCCGGAGAAGGGGCCUGAGAAAUGGCCACUACGUCUAAGGAUGGCAGCAGGCGCGCAAAUUACCCACUCUCGGCUCGAGGAGGUAGUGACGAGAAAUAACGAGACUGUUCUCUUUGAGGCCGGUCAUCGGAAUGGGUACAAUUUAAACCCUUUAACGAGUAUCAAGCAGAGGGCAAGUCUGGUGCCAGCAGCCGCGGUAAUUCCAGCUCUGCAAAUACAUAGAAUUAUUGCUGCGGUUAGAAAGCUCAUAGUUGGAUUCGUAUCGAUACCUUGGAACCCUUCGGGUGUCUCUAGGUGUUAUCGAUUUAUCGUAAUGUUCGGUUUUGAGUCCUUAACAGGAUUCUUAACAGGCAUUGCAAGUUUACUUUGAACAAAUCAGAGUGCUUCAAACAGGCGUUUUCGCUUGAAUGAUCGUGCAUGGAAUAAUAGAAAAUGAUUUCGGUUCAGUUUUAUUGGUUUUACGGACUGAGAUAAUGGUUAACAGAGACAAACGGGGCAUUUGUAUGGUCCCGUGAGAGGUGAAAUUCUUGGACCGUGGCCAGACAAACUACAGCGAAAGCAUUUGCCAAGAAUGUUUUUAUUAAUCAAGAACGAAAGUCAGAGGUUCGAAGGCGAUCAGAUACCGCCCUAGUUCUGACCGUAAACGAUGCCAACUAGCGAUCCGCCGAUGGAAAUUAUAUUGCCUUGGUGGGGAGCUUCCGGAAACGAAAGUCUUCCGGUUCCGGGGGAAGUAUGGUUGCAAAGCUGAAACUUAAAGGAAUUGACGGAAGGGCACCACCAGGAGUGGAGCCUGCGGCUUAAUUUGACUCAACACGGGGAAACUCACCCGGCCCGGACACUGUGAGGAUUGACAGAUUGAUAGCUUUUUCAUGAUUCAGUGGAUGGUGGUGCAUGGCCGUUCUUAGUUCGUGGAGUGAUUUGUCUGGUUUAUUCCGACCAGACAAAUGGUGGACUUUGCUCGUGGCUGCUUGAGCUUCCUUACGGGGCGGCGCUUGUGGACUAGUAGUGAGGACUGCUUGUGGAGUGCUUCAGCUGCGUGCUAUUUCGCAAGAUAUAGUACUUCGAUUGGCGCUGAACAACCAGUUUAGAACUGGCACGAACUCCGGAAUCCGACUGUCUAAUUAAAACAGAGGAGACGGAUGGUCCUUGCAGGACGUUGACCGUGUCUGAUUUCUGCCCAGUGCUCUGAAUGUUAAGCCAAGGAAACUUGAUUAAGCGCGGGUAAACGGCGGGAGUAACUAUGACUCUCUUAAGGUAGCCAAAUGCCUCGUCGGCUAACUACCGACGCGCACGAAUGGAUCAACGAGAUUCCCACUGUCCCUAUCUACUAUCUAGCGAAACCACAGCCAAGGGAACGGGCUUGGCAAAUUUAGCGGGGAAAGAAGACCCUG
rnacentral:rRNA from 1 species